rnacentral:rRNA from 1 species
UACGUAGGGUGCGAGCGUUGUCCGGAAUUAUUGGGCGUAAAGAGCUCGUAGGCGGCUUGUCGCGUCGGUUGUGAAAGCCCGGGGCUUAACCCCGGGUCUGCAGUCGAUACGGGCAGGCUAGAGUUCGGUAGGGGAGAUCGGAAUUCCUGGUGUAGCGGUGAAAUGCGUAGAUAUCUGGAGGAACACCGGUGGCGAAGGCGGCAUCCUGGACCGACACUGACGCUGAGGCGCGAAAGCUAGGGUAGCAAACGGG